CGGCGACAGCAACAACAGCGGAGACUUUCAAAGAAGAAGCACCACUAGCUGCACCAGGGCCGGAAACAGGAGGGACAACGUCAACAACCACUGGGGAUUGGGCAGGAGGUGAAUCAGAAAAGGUGGUAGGAGCCUCUGAGGUUUUUGGGGAUUCUGCUUCUGCAACUGGUGCUGAUGCCUUUGGUGAUGAAGUUGGGGCUUCAGCGGCCAUAGCCACGCCAACAAUGGCAACAAAGAUGAGCGCGAGAACGAAUACCUUUGAAGCCAUUGUUGUUAUUGUGUUAUUGUUGUUGUGUUUGUGUUGUUAGUAUUUCUCUAAUAAAACAAUAUUAGAGAAAAUACUAACAAGAAUGAAUGUGGUGAAUUGGUUUGAGUGGGGAAUGCCGUUUUAUAAGGUUACGAUUGUGAGAAAAGUUAGGGAAAUUGUUUUAUAUAGUUAAUUUGUUCAAACAGCUGUGCUAUAUAUAGCAGAAAUUCAUCAAGAAUGUAUCCUGAAACACCAACCAUCCAAUGAAUAGUAGGCUUUUGCCGGAAAUCAGGGGGGUUUUGAGAGAAAAGUCAAAGGCAAUAAAAAACAAUUGACCACAAUACACAAUUGCUAUUUACUCGCGAGCUAGAGCAUUUUUCUGUAGCUUUAUUUUUUUAUUUUUGCAUUAAAGAUUUCAAACUUUAAAUAGUUUAUGCACUUUGUAUAUAUUUAAGGGUUAAAUAUAUUUUUGAUCCUUAUAAAAUUGGAAAUUUCUAAGUUUAGUCCUUACUUAAUUUAAAUAGUCUUUUUAAUCCCUACAAAAAAAAUUACUUAUAAUUUUAGUCCCUGCUAAAAUAAAGUUUGUUUAAUUAUCCUUAAACUCUUAAAUUUUUGAACGAUUUGUGUAAGACAGGUUUAUAACACUGUGAAUGGAUCAUUUACUAAAAUUUAGAAUUUUUUUAGCGUGAAACAAAUUAAAUAUGAAUUUUUUAAAACGUCAAAAGUUAAAGAUAAAAGUAACAAAUCUAAACAUAGAAAUCAAAUUUUCCGAUAUUUUUUUACAAAGGAACUUUUAGCAAUGUUUUUAACACGUAUGCAAAAGAUUGUUCAAAAACUUAAGAGUUUGAACAUAAAUUAAACAAAUUUGAAUUGUGUAGGGAAUAAUACUGAGUGCAUAAUUUUUUUAGGGACGAACUAUUUAAAUUAAGUAAGGACUAAACUUAAAAGGUCCCAAUUUUAUUGGCACCAAAAACAUAUUUAACCCUAUAUUUAAUAGACUUUUAUAUGUGUUUUGUCCCAGCAAAUAGCGGUCGUAUUUAAAAUUUAGUCCCUGAAUUUGCUAAUCCUUGUUUUUUGCCACUACAAAAUUUAAUCAUUUAAAAUUUAGUCUCUCAUCCCAAUUAAUCACUGUCACGUCACUAAUUAGCUGACAUGGAUCAUUGACUCAACAAAAUAUGGCAUAAAGUGACUAAAAUACCCCUCCUUCUAUCAGAGUUGUGCGAAAUGAUGAAAAUACCUAUGGUAUCAUUUCCUUUUCUCUUAUAUGGCUCCUCCACGAUUUCCUUCUUCUUCCUUUUCUCUUCUCUCCAACCACCACCCCCACCCAACCACCAUGGCUUCCUCCACGAUUACAAAACCAAAUAUAACAUAAAAAAAUUACAUUCUAUGAAUACCAAAAUAACUUCAUUCAACAAAAUUGCCAUAUAAAACAUACAAAACUGAUAGACUUUUAGCAAGUGUACUAAAAAUGCAUCGAAGUAAUAAAAUUAAGUUCGUAUCCACGAGGACUGUGUUAAUCUCAAUUUAGCAAUAACGUUAAUAUCUAGGAUGUGUAAAUUUCUUAGUGCCCGAGGCAGUAGGAUGGUGUGCAUAAAAAGUAAAUAACAGAAAAUAAGAUAGUUUUGGAAAAGACAAUGAGAGAGAUGAGAUUAGGUCUUUCGAUUCAUCGAUGUUCCCCUAAUUGGUAUACUGUACCUAUUCGUAUUAAUGAUUUUCUAGUUCUACGAUAGUUAGCAAAAUAGUCCUAAUCCCCAAACUACAACCCCUAAUUCCUUAGGUGGUCUAAUAAUCUUUGAAGGUUUUAAGCACGUUAACCUAAUAUCACUAACAAACGAUUAUCCACUCUUAGACUAACCAUGUUUAUUAGAACAAUUCAAUUAGGUCUAAGUCGAAAGCUAGGGUCAGUAGUCAUUCGUUCUCACUAAAUCAUGUUUAUAUUUGAUCAGAAUAUAAAAAACAUUCAGAACAAUUGAACUGAACAAAAACUAGAUUGUCAUUAAUAAUAAAUAGAGUUUCACAGCAACAUGGAUCAAUUAGGGUUACAAGGAAUUAUCUCAGACCUAAUCUCUAAGAGAUUUAGCUACUCAUAAUUGAGUUUACAAAUAGCAUAAUCAAUGGAAGAAUUAAAACAUACAUACACUGAAGUAGAGAUGAUGAAAUCGCCUCUUAUGCAGUCUUCUGGUGUCAAAAUCGCAUUUUUGCUCUCCAAAAUCGUAACCCUUGUUUAUGGAGUUGGCUUCAGCUUAAAUAGGCAAGUUUUUUUGCGUCCAAAAUCGCACCACGCCACCAGAAAUCGUACCACGAUUUCCGUGGCAGAACCAAACCUUCAUUCUGGUCACAAAAUCGCGCCACGAUUGCCAAUUUCCAGCACUUCCAGAAUUUCUGCUUUUCACACCCCUGGUUACCUCAUAUUUCCUCAGAACUCUAUCAAAAUGGCAAAAUAAAUCGCAAAAAUUACGUAAUGGCAACAUGUCAUAAAAAACAAACCAAAGGAGGGAUCAAGAGAGAGAGAGAGAGAGAGAGAGAGAGAGAGAGAGAGAAACGGAGAAAGAUCAGGGAUCGGCGGAAAUGCAAUGGCGUAAGUGGUGUUGGUUUACGGUGAUGAUAGUUUUAGGGCGGAUCUGAAAGUUGAUACAAUGGUGGUUGAAACGGCGGUUACCAGAGUGGCAGUAGUGACUCAUACAGGUGUUCGCGAUGCUGUUUGGUUCGCUUUUGAGGCUAAAAUUCAUCCGAACCGCAAGAUAAAAAACAUGCGGUUUUUGGUUUGGUUCAGUUAAAUUUUAAAGCACAAUCUGAACCAAACUAAACCAAACAAAUGCGGUUUGGGUUGGAUCGGUUGGUGCGGUUUUUUUGAGACAACACAAUUUUUUAUUUUCAAAAUUAUAAUCGAGUUAAAAAGGUAAAACACAACAUAUUUUGAGCAAGGUUCCGACAAUGUUUUAAAUUUCAUUCCACAUUACAUUUUCAUUUUCCACAAAAUAAACGAACAUAAAAACGUGGACGAAAAUUAAUUCUAGUAUGUAACAAAUGUAAAAUACUUAGAUUUUAUCAUUCUCUAAAAGUUCAAGUAGAACAUAAUACAUUUUAGAAAUAAAAAGCAACGAAGAAACUUAACAAGAGACAAAAUAUGUCAUUUUAUAAAAGUUUCCAUUGAAUUUCUAAGAUUAUUGGUCUAGGUGACAUAGAUUUUAAUUAGUGUUUUUAUUAUGCUGCGGUUUGGUUUGUUUGGUUCGGUUAGUAAAAUGAAAACCGCAAACCAAAUCAAACCAUGCGGUUGACUAAAAAAGUGAUCCGAAUACAUCCAAACCAAUGUGGUUUUUUGCGGUUUCAGUUUGGGUUGGUUCAGUUUGCGGGUUUUCUAUUGGAUUGGUUUGGUUUUGAACACCCCUAGUGACUCAGUAGCAGCACUGAACCUCCUCUACUACUCCUCUACGACUCCGUAACAUCAUAAUCACACAUUAGUUCAGAGAAAUUGCUUCGCUUUUCGCUGUCUUGAAAAUUGAAUGCUAGAAAGGAUGAUUCUCUGGAACAUUAUCUUCAUGUAAAUCAGUCACGAUUUCGUGAAGGUAUAGCCGGUACAUUCCAUCUAGUAAUGCUUCAGAAGAGAAACAUUAUCUUUUGAUGGAGAAGAAAAGAAAAAUAGGUGAAGAAGAAAAGUGAAGGUUGUAGUUAUGGAGUUUAGAGAGAGAAAGAAAAAAAGGUGAAUAAAAAUUUGGAUAUGGAGAAGAAGAAAUAGGAGGAGAAGAAUAAUAAAAGGGGUAUAAUAGUCAUUCCGUGUUUGGCUGAGACCCUCAAGGGUAUUUUAGUCCGUUCACACUAUAUUUUGAUGAGUCAGCAAGCCUCUUAACCACUCAGCAAUGCCACGUCAUCAAAUUACUUAUGUGGAAGUGAUUAAGUGGGGAGAGAGAAUAAAUUUUAAAUGAUUAAAUUUUGCAGUGGCAAAAACAAGGAUUAACAAAUUCAGGGACCAAAUUUUAAAUGACCCAUAUUUGCAGAGACUAAACACAUAUAAAAGGCUAUUUGAUAUAAUGUUAGUAGAAUUCAUUGAUUUUGAUUGUGAUCUUCGAUUUUGCGAUCUUGCUACGCCCUUUCGAUUUUGAUGUUGACAACCUUGGUAACAUGUUUAUUAUGGACUGAAGUAGUGAGCUUGCUUCCAAUGGAAAAUGGGUUAGUAUGAUCUUAGUUUGUUAUAUAGACAGAGAGUCAAGUUCCAUAUCACUAAUAACUCUCACUCUCACAUAACCUAACAUUGCCACAUGCAAGGACCGAAUUCAAAUCUUGAAUACCCCCACCUGCUCGGUUCACUACAAGAAAUAUUGCAGUUAGCUAGAGAAUAAAGCUAGGUGCAAGAACUCCUGGCAAAUUUGCUAGGAGAUAUGCUAGGGAAAACUCCUAGCAAAAUUUCCAGGGGAAACCCCUCGCAUAAUUCGUGGUAUUUUUUUAGGCGGGUGUUUGAAUUUGAAUGAGAAGGAAUUGAUUCUCCCAUCGUAAGCAAAGCUGCUGCGAAGUCUAUGCAAAAGCAGACCGUGUCAGCGUUUUCCAGGGGUUUACCGAGGAGCUGCCCCUCGGAAAUUGCAAAGCUGAUUUUGAGGUGACAUCUCCUACAAUGUUGACCUGAAAAGUGGGGAAUCUUGCUGACAUUUUGCUGGCCCACGCACUGACCAACUAGCCGUUGAGAGACUGGCAAUUUCCGAGGGGGCAUAUCCAUCGGAAUACCCCUGGUAACUUUGUCCUAUAUAUUUCUUCUCUCCUCUUUCGUUCAGUCUUGCAACACUUAGAGAAAUUUUAUUUCUCUUCUUCACAGAACACACACACCACCCCUUCUUCUCCACAAACCACUCUCUUCUCCAACAACACUAAUUUUUUUUCACUUUGGUAAAUCUCUACACCUAUAUAUUUAUGUUUCUAUUUUAUUUUCUUCUAUUGGCAUAUAAUUUUUUUACGUCAUUUGCAAUAUCAGUGUCAAAGUAAAGCUGCCUCCUCCCUGUGGUUCCUUGCUCAAGUUGGUUUCUUGGAUCUGAUCUUUGUGAAGCUUCAACAAGUUAGUAGUUUCUCUAUUUUAAAUUGUUGAUAAAUUUUUUGUAUUUUAUGACUAGCUGAUGUGUGUUUAUAUAUAUAUAUAUAUAUAUAUAUAUAUGUUGUUAUGUAUGCAUGCUGUUAUGUAUACUGUUUUUAUUUUAAUUUAAAACCCAAAUUUUUUUAAGUUUAAGUAGAGAAAAAUGUUAUUUAUUCAAAUUUUAAUUUUAAUGGUGUAAUAAUUUUUCUCAAAUAUUUAAACUGUUUUUCCUUUUUUCAAAAAUUGUAACUACAAACAGUAGAAUUAAAAAAUUAUUCUAGUGUGUAAAAUUAUUUCUACAAACAGUAGAAAUAAUUUGUUUUUUUAUGAAUUUUUUGUUUAACUACAAACUAUUUCAUAAGUAAUUAGAAUUAUAAAUUAAUUUAAAAGAAUAAUUAUAAAACUGAUGUUAUUUAAAGACAACUUUUUAUUAAAAAAAAAUAGUAUACACAAUUUAGUAGUGUGUAGAGGAAUUUUGCGUGUAAAGAAAUUUAACGCAAUUUAGUUUAGCUAGUAAAAAAAAAUUAGUAAUAUAAUUCGCGCAUAAAAUUUUUUAGCGCAAUUUAGGUUAGUUAGUACAAAAACAAUUUAGUUAGUACGAAAACAAUUUAGUUAGUAUUAUCAUGGCACAUAAUGUUAGGCAAGUGUACUAUGUUUUUUAUCCCCCAACGCAACCACGCAAACGAGGGUGGUCGGUUGCAAUCAAAACAAAGCCAAAGGGUCGCAUUGAGACUGAAGAACCAACUUGAAGGGGAUCAUGUUGAUCUUGCUGUUUUGAUAACUCCUAAUGAAUAUGAAAAUGAUGAGGAUGAUGUUGGUUUGGAAGAUACCAAUAUUGAAGGGGAUCAUGAUGAAAGGUCAAGUCGAUGAAAGUGUUUUUGGAUUAUAAUUGAUGUAUUGUUGUAUUAUUAUAAUUGGUGUAUUUGUUAACUUAGUUUUAUAUUGUUCUAUUGUAAUGAUAUUAUUUUCAAUAUGAAUGAAUACGUGCGUUGUUUAAUUGUGUUAUGAUGAUUUAUUAUGUUGAUAUGAUGUUUUUGUUAUUGAUAAAUAUCUAGGUAUGCCUCCAAAAGAUAAAGGAUUGAGAAAGGACUGCAGGAGGCGGUAUCGUACUUACGUUGUGGACGGAGCAACAUAAGCUAGAUUCCCCAUGCCUAUCAUUUCUACUGCAUCUUCUAGCCAGGGAUCAUUUGGGUCCUCCCAGGCUAGUGUAGCUGCUCCUGCUAUGGGUACUGCUCUUAGACCUAAUAUUUUAUGUGUGCUAUUACUUUAUUUGCUCUGUUAACUACUUUUUCUAAAACAAUUAAAUUAAAAAAACAUUUAAAAAAAGUUUUUUAAAAUUAUUUUAAAUAAUUUUUAUUAUUAAAACAAUUUUAAAACGAAGAAAUAAAAAAAAAAUUUAAAAAUGUUUAUUAAAAUUAUUUUAAUAAUUAAAUUUAAUUAUAUUUAAAAAAAUUAAAAUGUUUUUUAAAAUUAUUUUAAUUAUUAAAUUUUAAUAUUUUGAUUUUUUACACAAUUAAAAAACGUUUUUUUUUAAAAAAAAAUCGUACGCAAUUUGCGAGGGGUUAACCCUUGGCAAAUUUCCUGACAUGGUUUGAACAUGACUGAUGUGAUUUUGAAACAGAUAUGCAAAAGCCUGCAUGUACCAGUAAACGUCAGAAAAGCCUGCAUGCAUGCUGACACAGUUUGCCUGGGGUUGCGCCAGGGUUUAUGCCCCUCACAAAUAUUCCAGGAGCUAAAGCCUUGGAAUGGUCAUUUGCGAUGACCUGAAUUGUUGGGGAUUAUGCCCCUGGCAAACGUCCAUUUGCCAAAGCUUUCUGCAUUUUGCCAAGAAUUUCUUGUAGUGCUUUAAUAGGAAAAAUUUUAUCGACUACACUAUUUUACCAAUAUAUAUAGACACACAUAUACAUAUGACGAUCGUUGUGAAAAUUGUGGUUUGUAAUGAUUAGAUUGAAUCUUUAAGAUUGAAUAUUGCAGAAACAAAUAUUAUUGAAAACUGCAUAAAAAACUCCAACAAACACAAACAAACAGUGUAGAGAAUCUGAAUCUUAUUUUCUUCUAAAAAAAUAUAAAAAUUCUGAAUCUAAUUGAACUUUUAUAUUUUUAGAUGAUCCAAUCACUCGAACGAAACCAAAACCUAUAUCAUCAGUUUAGUUUGGUUUGUUUCUACUUCAAAAAAAUUAAUUAAAAUUGAAUCAAAUUGAACCAUGUAGAUUUUGUCGGUUUGUACAUUCUAUUGAAUUUUUUCCGUCAAUUUCUUGAGAUAUCAGCAAGGAACAUAAAGUAAUGUUCCAUGAGUUUGAAAUAUCUGUUACAAAGCAAAUAUUAUGUCAACCUCAACCAAAUGAAGUAAUUCAAAACUGGAUACAUAUUGCUUUUUUUAAUCCAUUUGAGACCAAUUGAUUCACUUUUUUUCAUGUAUUUUAAUUUUUCUUUUUUGGAAUUAAAAAAAUGUGCAUUUGGUUUUUGAUUUAAGGACGAUCAUCACCACUAUUCUCUUGGAUUGUUUUUUACCAUUUCAAUGAAUGGAACAAUAAAUAAUCUGAAACUCUUGAUAUUAUAAUCAUAUUCAAUAUUAUAAAUUUCUUGAUUUGUAUAAUACUAUUAUGAUCAUGCACAUUUCACAAACACAACAUAGCACAAGGUGCACCAAUAUAACAACAACACAUUUAUUUCCUCAAAAGCUCGUUACAAACAAUUUAAAAGGCAAAGAAGCCAGCUGCGGCGACAGCAACAAUAGCGGAGACUUUCAAAGAAGAAGCACCACUAGCUGCACCAGGGCCGGAAACAGGAGGGACAACGUCAACAACCACUGGGGAUUGGGCAGGAGGUGAAUCAGAAAAGGUGGUAGGAGCCUCUGAGGUUUUUGGGGAUUCUGCUUCUGCAACUGGUGCUGAUGCCUUUGGUGAUGAAGUUGGGGCUUCAGCGGCCAUAGCCACGCCAACAAUGGCAACAAAGAUGAGCGCGAGAACGA
rnacentral:lncRNA from 1 species